rnacentral:tRNA from 1 species
GCAGAGAUCGCCUAGCCUGGCAGGGCGUAGGAUUGCUAAUCCUAUGAUCGUAAGGUCACGGGGGUUCAAAUCCCCCUCUCUGCG